AACAAAGCCCCUUGGAAGAACUAGCCUGGUACCUUGCUUGCAGAGUUCCCAGCAGCCUUACCAGGUGAGUAAAGAAGGUCGCUUCCUGGCAGGUGCAGAGACCUCGAGAAGAGAAGAAUUCAUCCAAAUCUACAGAAGCCACAAAACUGCAAAUAGUAAUAGAAACGAAACCCAGAAUAGAAGCGCCAGCCUUCUGAGGCCCUCUCAACUGACCAGUGAUGGAGACCUAGCUGCACCCUUUACUGUGCCCCCUUCUCAGCACGAA